AAAUUCCUAAAACCUCAUCAAAACACCAAAGAAAUGGCCAUGAGAUUUAUCAUAGGUCAAACAAGGUCAAAGGACCUUGGAGAAAAAAUUUAAGAAUUUUUAAAGACUUAAAAGUAUUUUUAAACAAUUAAAAACAAACACAAAAUCAAUUAAAUCAUGAAAAAUAUUAAUAAUGAUCCAAAAAAUAAUUUUAAUUCAAAAUAUGAAAGAGGAAAAGAUUAUUUGAAUUUUUUUGGUGAAACACAUAUUUUUUGGAUCAAUAUUAAAAUUAAUAUGAAUUAAUGAUAAUAAAAGGAAUAAAAUAAAAUCAGAAAAUAUGAAAAAAACAUGGACCACUUGAU
rnacentral:lncRNA from 1 species